AACGUAGGACGCAAGCGUUAUCCGGAAUUACUGGGCGUAAAGCGCGUGUAGGCGGCCCUGCAAGUCGGAUGUGAAAUCCCACGGCUCAACCGUGGAAGUGCAUUCGAAACUGCAGGGCUAGAGUCCUGGAGAGGAAGGUGGAAUGCUUGGUGUAGAGGUGAAAUUCGUAGAUAUCAAGCGGAACACCGGUGGCGAAGGCGGCCUUCUGGACAGUGACUGACGCUGAGACGCGAAAGCGUGGGGAGCAAACAGG
rnacentral:rRNA from 1 species